CAAUAGCGUAUAUUAAAGUUGUUGCAGUUAAAAAGCUCGUAGUUGGAUUUCGGGGUGGCCUGGCUGGUCCGCCGCAAGGUGAGUACUGGUCAGCCGCCCUUCCUCUCGAAAGCCCCGACUGCUCUUUACUGCAGUGGUCGGGUAGUUCGGGACGUUUACUUUGAAAAAAUUAGAGUGUUCAAGGCAGGCUAUCGCCUGAAUACAUUAGCAUGGAAUAAUGGAAGAGGACCUCGGUCCUAUUUUGUUGGUUUCUAGGGCCGAAGUAAUGAUUAAGAGGGACAGUUGGGGGCAUUCGUAUUUAAUUGUCAGAGGUGAAAUUCUUGGAUUUAUGAAUGACGAACUAGUGCGAAAGCAUUUGCCAAGGAUGUUUUCAUUAA
rnacentral:rRNA from 1 species